GACGAACGCUGGCGGCGUGCCUAAUACAUGCAAGUCGAACGCUGAAGGAGGAGCUUGCUCUUCUGGAUGAGUUGCGAACGGGUGAGUAACGCGUAGGUAACCUGCCUGGUAGCGGGGGAUAACUAUUGGAAACGAUAGCUAAUACCGCAUAACAGUAGAUGUUGCAUGACAUUUACUUAAAAGGUGCAAUUGCAUCACUACCAGAUGGACCUGCGUUGUAUUAGCUAGUUGGUGGGGUAACGGCUCACCAAGGCGACGAUACAUAGCCGACCUGAGAGGGUGAUCGGCCACACUGGGACUGAGACACGGCCCAGACUCCUACGGGAGGCAGCAGUAGGGAAUCUUCGGCAAUGGACGGAAGUCUGACCGAGCAACGCCGCGUGAGUGAAGAAGGGUUUCGGAUCGUAAAGCUCGGUUGUAAGAGAAGAACGAGUGUGAGAGUGGAAAGUUCACACUGUGACGGUAUCUUACCAGAAAGGGACGGCUAACUACGUG
rnacentral:rRNA from 1 species